ACUCGAGAGAACCAUAGAAGAAAGAAUAUCUUCUUCCUUUGUUCUUUCCGCCAUUAACACACUCAGAGUAAAAAAAUAAAACAGAUCGUAAGUAGAGAUGUUUCACCAAAAACAAAUCUCUGUUUGAUUCAAAUCUGAUAAAUUUAGCUAGGUAUGUAUUCUGUUAAUUACUUGGCUUUGACCUAAAUCCGAACGAUGAAGAUGAAUAAGAUGGUUCAAAGUUAAUUCUGCUGAUGAUAAAUUUCGUUGAUUUAUCUUCGAGGGUGGAGCAACUGCAUCUCUUGUUGAUAUAAUUGGGUCUGCUGCAAUUCAGGUGCUAAAACAAGUGGUGUUUCUGUUGAAAUCAACAUUUUUUACCUCGUUCUGGGUAUCUUGAUAGAACUUCUCGAGCACAGAACUUUAGAGAGUCACUUGUGGAAUGUCGGCUGCUGUGAAUAAAGCUUGGAUGAAUGAACCAGACAUAUUUAGCAAAACAUAUAAAGAUGGGGUUAAAUUUUUCAUGAAUUAUGCAGCUACAUAUGGUAAUUCGGACACAACAUGCCCAUGCUCUAAGUGUCAGAAUGGGAAACGUUUGGAAAUGUGGGAAGUGAGGAAACAUCUUUAUGAGAAGGGUAUUGACAGGGGUUAUGUUAUUUGGUUCUUUCAUGGUGAAAAAGAGGGUGAUAGCGCAGCAAGGCAUCCAAGUGGUAAUUUCAUACCAGCUGAAAUCAAUGAUGAGCAAGCUAGAGAAGGCGUAGUAGAAGAUUUGGGUUCCUUUGUCGAUGCUGCUUAUGGAGUUUUUGACCGGGGAGACGAAUUGUCCGUCUGCAGACUUGGUUGAGGCGUUUAUCAAGAUAAUAGAGGAGAUGGCUGACAUGGUUGAUAAGGUAGAUCAUUUGGAAAUAUGGAUGCCCUCCACCGCCAGCGAGCAAUCUGUGAACUACUUGGCUCAACUUGGGUUUACAUACUGAAGGCUUGAUGGCGAGGCACAUGCUGGACAGAUUACGCGUCAUUAAAGGGCUGCAUUACUUUGAGGAGCUUUAUGGCAGCUCAGGGUGUUAGCUUUGAAUUGUUUUGGGUUAAAUUUCAUAACGAAUGGAACGAUUCUGUUGUACCUGUGUUCGUAAUGAAUGUAUGAAUCUUCUUUGAGAAUGCAUGAACUGCAGAUUGAAAAAUAAGAAA